GGAAGCUGCCACUUUUGCUAGAGAGCAAGGCUUUGAGACUGAAGAUAUUAAAGAAAUAGCCAAAAAGACACAAGCUCUGCCAAAGGUGAACUCGAAGAGGCAGCGAAUUGUGAUUUUCACCCAAGGGAGAGAUGACACUAUACUGGCUACAGAAAGUGAAGUCACUGCUUUUGCUGUCUUGGAUCAAGACCAGAAGGAAAUUGUUGAUACCAAUGGAGCUGGAGAUGCAUUUGUUGGAGGUUUUCUGUCUCAACUGGUCUUUGACAAACCCCUGACUGAAUGCAUCCGUGCUGGCCACUAUGCAGCAAGUGUCAUAAUUAGGCGGACUGGCUGCACUUUUCCUGAGAAGCCAGACUUCCACUGAUGGAAAAGCAGGACACCCCAGCCGAGAAGUACAGACGCGGCUCUGAUUGCUUCCCGAGAACUCCCGUAUUAAUGAAGAAGAAAAUUACCUGCCACCUUUCUUACUAUAAUAAUGUUCAUUGUUAAUUUAGAGGGUACAGUAAUGCACAGUAGAAUCUCUAUUCUCUCAAAAACCUAAAAAGUGAGGUUUAUUUCCAUAGUUUGGUAGUACCACUUAAAUGUCAAUUAAACAAGCAUAUAACAUUUCAAUAGAAAUUUUUGUUUCAUUUUCAGUUACUUUGUAAAUUCAUGUGUAUUUAGCAAAGUGAUCAGUUUUUUUUACAUUUCUGCUUUGAAUGCAGAUGCAAUUUAAUAUAAUAGAUUUUUAAAAAGGAAAUUAAAGAUAAUACAUAAAUCUUUAGCUUUUAUACAAAUAUAUUUAAUUCAGGAAUGUGUGUGUACACAUACAUACACAUAUGUAUGUUCAUACAUGUACCACACAUAUACAUAAUAAAUGGUCAGAUAAGGUACAGAAAUAUUUAUCUUGCCAACUUAUGCCAAAUAAUUUCUAGUAUGUACUCAAAAAUGUAAUAAACUUUGGAUAAUUAAAUAAUUUUCCAAAUUAUGAGCUAUGUUACAAUAUUCAAAUCAUAGUCUUAUAUUUACUUAUGGUACUCUGUAAUUUGAUACAAAUAAAAAGUUGUCAUAUAGGACUUUUUUCCUGUCUUUGCCCUGUGCUCAGCAAACUAAGGAAUAAAGAUCAUUGUUUAAUCCUGGGCCCUGAAAUGAUAACUAAUUUGUUGAUGGAAAUAGAAGGAAUAACAUACCUAUAUUGAAUAAUAGCUUAGUAUUAGAGACCAAUAAGCCACUGUUUAAAGGAAGACAGAAUGGUAUAAUAGAACCUCUGGAGGCAGAUUAAUUACCUUUAUAUGACCUUGGGUCAAAUACUCAGCCCCUUUGAGCUUCAAUCUCCUUUCUAUAAAAUGGGAUCAUAACCCCUGUGUACAAGGUCAUUGAGAUGAUUUGAGAGAGAAUGCUAAGUAUAAAGUGCUUAUCAUUAUUAUUGUUGCUGAAGAAGAAAAAGAUCGUAGUUGUAAAACUGAAUUCAAACCAUAGAAAAGAGUUCAGGUUGUUGGUUAUUUUUUUACAUAAGUAACUUUUUAGGUCUCCUGUGCUUGUUUAUCUUUUUAUUAUCAUUGAGCUAUAACUCAUUAUAUAUAUGAAUUUUCCAUUUUAAAGUGUACAGUUAAAGUGUAAAGUGAAAAAAAGAAAGAGGAGUUCCUGUUGUAGCUUAAUGGGUUAUGAACCUGACUAGUAUCCGUGAGGAUGUGGGUUUGAUCCCUGGCCUCGCUCAGAGGGUUACGGAUCUAAUGUUUCCAUAAGCUGUGGUGUAGGUUGCAGAGGCAACCCAGAUCCCCAUAUUGCCAUGGCUGUGGUAUACGUGGCAGCUGCAACCCUGCUGCAACCCCUGGCCUGGAACUUCCAUAUGCCACAAAUGCAGCUCUGAAAAGCUAAAUAAAUAAAUAAAUAAAUAAAGUGUAAAGUGGGGUGUCACCAUUAUGACUCAGCAGGUUAAAAACGCAACAUAGCGUCCUUGAGGAUACCAGCUCAAUCCCUGGCCGCACUCAGUGGGUUAAGGAUCCAGUGAUGCUGCAAGCUCCGGCAUAGGUCGCAGAUGCAGCUCGGCUCUGGCAUUGCUGUGGCUGUGGCAUAGGCCAGCCGCUGCAGCUCCAAUUCAACCCUUAGCCUGGGAACUUACAUAUGCCGUAGGUGCGACUGUAAACAGGAAAAAAAAGUGUAAAGUGGGCUUUAGUAUAUUCACAAAACUGUGCAGCUAUCACCAAUAGCUAAAUCAAGAACAGUCUCAUCACCUCUAAAGGAGACCCUGUACCCAGUUCAUUCCCAUCUUCUGGUAACCACUAACCUAUUUUCUGUCUCUGUAGAUUUGCCUGUUCUGAACAUUGAUAAAAAUGGAGUCGUGUAACAUGUGUUCAUUUGUGUCUGGCUUCUUUUACUUAGCAUGUUUUCAAGGUUCAUCUUAAAAUGUUUUCAGUACUUCUUUUUAUUGCCAAACAGUAUUUCCUUGUAUGGAUAUACCAUAUUAUGUUUAUCUGUUCACCGCUUGAUGGACAUUUCAGUUGUUAACAUUUUGGGACUACCAUGAAUUAUACUGCUAUUAACAUUCACAUACAAAUUUUUUACGUUGAUGUAUGUUUUCAUUUCUUUAGGACAUAUACCUUGGAAUAGAAUUGCAGGGUCACAUGGUAACUGUAGGCUUAACUUUUUGAGAUACUGCCAAACUUUUUUCCAAAGGGGCUGCAUCAUCUUGCCUUCUUACCAACAAGGUUUAAGGGUUUCAAUUUUUUUACACCCUUGCCAACACUUGCUACUCUGUUUGAUUGUGGCCAUCUUGGGAGUAUAAUGUGAUAUCUCAUUGUGAUUUUAAUUUACAUUUUCUUACCUACUAAUGAUACUGUUCUUAUUGACCAUUUGUAUUUUUUCUCUGGAGAAAUGUCUGUUCAAAUCCCUUGCUCAUUUUUUCAUUGAGUUUAUCCUUUUAUUCUUGAGGUGUAAGCAUUCUUUAUAUAUUCUGGAUAUAAAUCUUAUCAGACAUGAUUUACAAAUAUUUUCUUCCAUUCUGAGGGUUAUGUUUUCAUUUUCUUGAUGGUAUCCUUUGAAGCACAGAUGUUCUUAAUUUGUAUGAAAUCUUUAUCUCCUUUUUUUUUUGUUGUUGUUUUCAUAUUUAGGGAACCAUGGCCUAAUGCAGUAUCAUGAAGAAUUACAUGUAUAUCCUCUUCUAAGAUUUUCAUAGUUUUUGCUCUUACAUUUAACUCUUUGAGCCAUUUUGAGGUUUUUUUUAAUAUAUUUGAGUUGGGAGGUCUAAAUUAAGUAUCUUGUGUGUAGAUAUCCGCUUAUUUCAUUACCUUAUUAAGAAAGACUAUUUUCUCCACUAUGGCACCCUUGUCAAAAAUCAGUUGACCAUAAAUGUAAGGCUUUAUUUCUGGACUCUCAGUUCUGUUCCAUUUGUCUCUAUGUCUAUCCUUAUGCUAAUCUAGACUGUCUUGAUUACUGGAGCUUCAGGUUUUGAAAUCAGGAAGUGUGAGUCCUCCAGCUCUGUCUCUCAAGAAUAGUUAGUUUGGGAAGUUCCCAUUGUGGCUCAACGGUAACGAACCCAACUAGUAUCCAUGAGGAUACAGUUUUGAUCCCUGGCCUCGCUCAGUGGGUUAAGGAUCAGGCAUUGCUGUGAGCUGCCAUGAGCUGUGGUGUAGGUCACAGAUGCAGCUCGGAUCCCACGUUGCUGUGGUGUAGGCCAGCAUCUGCAGCUCCAGUUCAACCCCUAGCCUGGGAACUUCCAUAUGCCAAGGUGUGGCCCUAAAAAAGAAAAAAGAACAGUUAGUUUGACUGUUAGAGUAUCUUUAUCAUAUUGAAAUUACUACAGAAUGUCUUCCUCUUAGAUUAGUAACUGGGACACUGAGAAACUUUUCUUAUUCUUUUUUAGAAAAAAAAAUCUUUUACUCCAAGACUAUCAAUCGAGUACCACUCACCAGCUAGGAAGACAGUCACUAUAGGAGGUUCCUAAGUAGUAAUUAACAUGCACACAGAUCACAUAACUUCCUUAUAUUAAAAAAAAAAAA
rnacentral:lncRNA from 1 species